rnacentral:rRNA from 1 species
AGGGAAUUUUCCACAAUGGACGAAAGUCUGAUGGAGCAACGCCGCGUGAACGAUGAAGGUCUUCGGAUUGUAAAGUUCUGUUGUUAGGGACGAAACCGUACCGUUCGAAUAGGGCGGUACCUUGACGGUACCUAAUUAGAAAGCCACGGCUAACUACGUGCCAGCAGCCGCGGUAAUACGUAGGUGGCAAGCGUUGUCCGGAAUUAUUGGGCGUAAAGCGCGCGCAGGCGGCUAUGUAAGUCUGAUGUUAAAGCCCGGGGCUCAACCCCGGUUCGCAUUGGAAACUGUGUAGCUUGAGUGCAGAAGAGGAAAGCGGUAUUCCACGUGUAGCGGUGAAAUGCGUAGAGAUGUGGAGGAACACCAGUGGCGAAGGCGGCUUUCUGGUCUGUAACUGACGCUGAGGCGCGAAAGCGUGGGGAGCAAAC